UACGUAGGGGGCUAGCGUUGUCCGGAAUCAUUGGGCGUAAAGCGCGUGUAGGCGGUCCGGUAAGUCCGCUGUGAAAGUCGGGGGCUCAACCCUCGAAUGCCGGUGGAUACUGUCAGACUAGAGUACGGAAGAGGCGAGUGGAAUUCCUGGUGUAGCGGUGAAAUGCGCAGAUAUCAGGAGGAACACCCAUUGCGAAGGCAGCUCGCUGGGACGUUACUGACGCUGAGACGCGAAAGCGUGGGGAGCGAACAGG
rnacentral:rRNA from 1 species